rnacentral:rRNA from 1 species
GAUGAACGCUGGCGGCGUGCCUAAUACAUGCAAGUCGAGCGAAUGGAUUAAGAGCUUGCUCUUAUGAAGUUAGCGGCGGACGGGUGAGUAACACGUGGGUAACCUGCCCAUAAGACUGGGAUAACUCCGGGAAACCGGGGCUAAUACCGGAUAACAUUUUGAACCGCAUGGUUCGAAAUUGAAAGGCGGCUUCGGCUGUCACUUAUGGAUGGACCCGCGUCGCAUUAGCUAGUUGGUGAGGUAACGGCUCACCAAGGCAACGAUGCGUGGCCGACCUGAGAGGGUGAUCGGCCAAACUGGGACUGAGGCACGGCCCAGACUCCUACGGGAGGCAGCAGUAGGGAAUCUUCCGCAAUGGACGAAAGGCUGACGGAGCAACGCCGCGUGAGUGAUGAAGGCUUUCGGGUCGUAAAACUCUGUUGUUAGGGAAGAACAAGUGCUAGUUGAAUAAGCUGGCACCUUGACGGUACCUAACCAGAAAGCCACGGCUAACUACGUGCCAGCAGCCGCCGUAA